AGCUCAAAUGGCCUAGUGGUUAGAGCGUCUGCCUCGGAUGCAGGAGGUCGUGGGUUCGAUCUUCGGUCGAGUCA